rnacentral:rRNA from 1 species
UACAGAGGGUGCGAGCGUUGUCCGGAAUCAUUGGGCGUAAAGGGCGCGUAGGUGGCCCGGUCAGUCUUUGGUGAAAGCGCGGGGCUCAACCCUGCGUCGGCCAGGGAUACUGCCGCGGCUCGAGCACUGUAGAGGCAGGCGGAAUUCCGGGUGUAGCGGUGGAAUGCGUAGAGAUCCGGAAGAACACCGGUGGCGAAGGCGGCCUGCUGGGCAGUUUAGCUGACACUGAGGCGCGACAGCGUGGGGAGCAACAGG